rnacentral:lncRNA from 1 species
CAAUCCUCAAAUUUUAAUUAUAGUAAUGGCUUAUUCUUUCCCAUUUUAUACUGCAUUAAACUGCUGAAAAGAUGAAGUAAUUAGUAUUUUAAAUUUUUCUCCAUACUUUGAUAUUCUACUUAAAAUGGCAAAAUAUAUUCCUUGCCAUGCUAUGUGAAAGUUCUGAGAGCAUUAAAAUGGCUAAAAUGGUAGACAGCAAGAGAGAAGAGAAAUAAAAAUAAGCAUACACAAAUUGGAUAAGCAGCUCUAGAAUAAAUUGAAAGUUGAUGUAAGCUCAGGAAUAGUAGUGCUAUUUUUCCCAUGGCAAUUUACCAAAAUUCAUGUGCAUUUCGUGAUAAAAAAUGUUCACCAAAUCACCCCUAGGUGUAAAUCUUCUGACUUCUGAAAUUCAAGUCUCCAAGGAAAACUCAGAAGUCACAUUAAACCAAUUGCUCAAGGCUGGUCAGCGUUUCCCACUGUCUGGAUGGAAAGAAGAAUCCAUUUGGCUGGGGGUCAGAAAGGAGUCAGGCUGAUGAUGGAGGAUUGCGGAGGAUUCUCCAGAAGAUUCUCCCAAUACGUGGGGACAGCUCUUACAGCAGAAAAUGGCAAUUUAUGCACGAUAAGACCACCAGCUGGCGUUACCAAUGUUCCUCUGCACGCUUUCAUUACAACUGGGGUAAAAAUUGGAAAGUCAAGAUGAUGGAAUCCGUCUAAGAAAGGGUAGAACAAUGAUUUUGUAGAAAUUUAAGUCAUUUUUAAAACCAAAAGGUGUUAAUUGAGGCCCAAGAUGUAAGUUAGUAAUUAAACUUCUCUUUGGAUGAGGUGUAUCAACCAGGGAGAAUCUGUCUCAGGUUUUACUAAAGAGAGCUCAAGACUGACUUAGGAUACCUGCUCUGGAUCAACACAGAGCGAGACUUAAAACUGACCCACUCAAGAGAAGGUGAUGUUCUCAGUCAGUGCUCCUUGUGGGAACGUGACAUUUAUUAGGGCACUUCUUGGAAACCACCAAGGGCCAACGCUAUUAAUGAAGCUGACCCCACAGGUGCGAGGCUUGUGGGUUUCAGUUCCAGUUUUACCCUUCAGAAAUCAAUGACAGCCCCCCUAGAGGCACCAUCUGCAGGCCUAUGGGAAAGAUGUCCAAGUGAGAACACGUGGGAAAGGAAGAAGUUAAAUUUGAAAGUUGACUUAAUUACACUCUCUGCUUUCAGAGAGCUUCCCCUUUGAACUUCUCGCCUUAUUUCUUACCCACGCUGCAGAAUAAUUUUGGCAUUUGUUUCUACCUCAAACUACUGGUUCCUGGUUUCAAUUUCUGUAUCAAGUUGAGAGCUACAGAUGGGAUGCAGGAAGGUUAUUUUAUGGUUUGGAGUCUUGCCAGGCUCCGCAGACACCUUUCAUGAGAGCAAGGCUACUAUCCUGUUCAUUUCCAAUGUCAGUGUCUGGGGAGCUCGAAGUACUUUGUAGAUAUUGUCACAUUCAUUUUACCUGAGGCAAGUUGGAGGCAUGCGGUAUUGUAAAAUUUUCUUUAAAGCUCUACUCUUAAGUAUAAGAGAGAAAAAGAAAUGCUGCCUAUAAAUCUGCUAGCCAUAUUUGAAAAACAAGACACUGAAGAAAGCUGGGGUUUUAAGAAUGGUUUUCCCUCUCUCUCUUGGGAGGGCAUGAGGAGGUCUCAGUGAUCCAAUCACAGGGCGGGCUUCACCCGG